rnacentral:lncRNA from 1 species
UGUUGUUGUUGUUCUUGUAGUCGUUUUUGUCGUUGUUGUUGUUGUUGUUGUUGUUGUUGUUGUUGUUGUUGUUGUUGUUGUUGUCGUCGUCGUUGUCGUCUUCGUUGUUGUUGUUGUUCUUGUUGUUUAUGUUGUUGUUUAUGUUGUUGUUGUUGUUGUUGUUGUUGUCGUCGUCGUUGUUGUUGUUGUUCUUCUUCUUCUUCUUCUUCUUCUUGAUGUUGUUGUUUUUGUUGUUGUAGUUGUUAUUGUUGUUGUAG